UGCUGCUUUGCUGACGAGUGGCGGACGGGUGAGUAAUGUCUGGGAAACUGCCUGAUGGAGGGGGAUAACUACUGGAAACGGUGGCUAAUACCGCAUAACGUCGCAAGACCAAAGAGGGGGACCUUCGGGCCUCUUGCCAUCAGAUGUGCCCAGAUGGGAUUAGCUUGUUGGUGAGGUAACGGCUCACCAAGGCGACGAUCCCUAGCUGGUCUGAGAGGAUGACCAGCCACACUGGAACUGAGACACGGUCCAGACUCCUACGGGAGGCAGCAGUGGGGAAUAUUGCACAAUGGGCGCAAGCCUGAUGCAGCCAUGCCGCGUGUAUGAAGAAGGCCUUCGGGUUGUAAAGUACUUUCAGCGGGGAGGAAGGUGUUGUGGUUAAUAACCGCAGCAAUUGACGUUACCCGCAGAAGAAGCACCGGCUAACUCCGUGCCAGCAGCCGCGGUAAUACGGAGGGUGCAAGCGUUAAUCGGAAUUACUGGGCGUAAAGCGCACGCAGGCGGUCUGUCAAGUCGGAUGUGAAAUCCCCGGGCUCAACCUGGGAACUGCAUUCGAAACUGGCAGGCUUGAGUCUUGUAGAGGGGGGUAGAAUUCCAGGUGUAGCGGUGAAAUGCGUAGAGAUCUGGAGGAAUACCGGUGGCGAAGGCGGCCCCCUGGACAAAGACUGACGCUCAGGUGCGAAAGCGUGGGGAGCAAACAGGAUUAGAUACCCUGGUAGUCCACGCCGUAAACGAUGUCUACUUGGAGGUUGUGCCCUUGAGGCGUGGCUUCCGGAGCUAACGCGUUAAGUAGACCGCCUGGGGAGUACGGCCGCAAGGUUAAAACUCAAAUGAAUUGACGGGGGCCCGCACAAGCGGUGGAGCAUGUGGUUUAAUUCGAUGCAACGCGAAGAACCUUACCUGGUCUUGACAUCCACAGAAGAAUCCAGAGAUGGAUUUGUGCCUUCGGGAACUGUGAGACAGGUGCUGCAUGGCUGUCGUCAGCUCGUGUUGUGAAAUGUUGGGUUAAGUCCCGCAACGAGCGCAACCCUUAUCCUUUGUUGCCAGCGGUUAGGCCGGGAACUCAAAGGAGACUGCCAGUGAUAAACUGGAGGAAGGUGGGGAUGACGUCAAGUCAUCAUGGCCCUUACGACCAGGGCUACACACGUGCUACAAUGGCGCAUACAAAGAGAAGCGACCUCGCGAGAGCAAGCGGACCUCAUAAAGUGCGUCGUAGUCCGGAUUGGAGUCUGCAACUCGACUCCAUGAAGUCGGAAUCGCUAGUAAUCGUGGAUCAGAAUGCCACGGUGAAUACGUUCCCGGGCCUUGUACACACCGCCCGUCACACCAUGGGAGUGGGUUGCAAAAGAAGUAGGUAGCUUAACCUUCGGGAGGGCGCUUACCACUUUGUGAUUCAUGACUGGGGUGAAGUCGUAACAAGGUAACCGUAGGGGAACCUGCGGUUGGAUCACCUCCUUACCUUAAAGAA
rnacentral:rRNA from 2 species